rnacentral:lncRNA from 1 species
AGUGGAUUUACUAAGGUCCAUACUUGGUUCGAGUACAUCGAGUCAAUUUCUGACUUCAUCGCAUCUAACUAUUUCUCAGAAUCGAUAACAGAUAUUGCCUCAUCAAAGGUAUUAGGAUCAUCAUCAUGAUUCUUAUCUUCCAUAAAAAAUAUUUUCUUUACUUCUUUCGUAAGCAUACCCAUGUACCUUUCAAGAGGUCAAAAGAUCCUGCU